AUACGGAGGGUGCAAGCGUUAAUCGGAAUUACUGGGCGUAAAGCGUGCGUAGGUGGUUUGUUAAGUUAGAUGUGAAAGCCCCGGGCUCAACCUGGGAACUGCAUUUGAAACUGGCAUACUAGAGUAUAGGAGAGGAAAGUGGAAUUUCAGGUGUAGCGGUGAAAUGCGUAGAUAUCUGAAGGAACAUCAAUGGCGAAGGCAGCUUUAUGGACUAAUACUGACACUGAGGUACGAAAGCGUGGGUAGCAAACAGGAUUAGAAACCCCAGUAGUCC
rnacentral:rRNA from 1 species